AGCGGGAUGAGCUCAAGCUUAAAAUCUCUGUGCCAGUUUGGCAUGGCGAAUUGUAGUCUAUGGAGGCGCUGUCAGUGCGAUUGUUCGGGGUAAGUUCCUUGGAAGAGGACAGCAUCGAGGGUGAUACUCCCGUAUGUACCUGUUCAGUUGCGCGUACGACACGUUUUCUUCGAGUCGCGUUGUUUGGGAAUGCAGCGCAAAGUAGGUGGUAAAUUCCAUCUAAAGCUAAAUAUUGGUGCGAGACCGAUAGCGAACAAGUACCGUGAGGGAAAGAUGAAAAGAACUUUGAAAAGAGAGUUAAAGAGUACCUGAAACUGCUGAAAGGGAACCGAAUCGUUUCCAGUGUCUAUAAUCCAUGGUAUAUUUCAUUGGCGCGUGAGUGCGUGCAGCGUUUUGGAAGCGGUCUCCGCUCCUGUCGUUGUUGUGCAUUUGCUUGCUGGUGCCCUGUGCUGUGGUGGGACGUCAGAGUCAGUUUGUAUGUUGCGGGAAAUGGUUAUUGGGGAGGUAGGUCACUUCGGUGGCUGUUAUAUCCUGAUAAUUAGUCGUCGUGGCUGAGACUGAGGUGCCUACAACGUGCUCUCGAGUCUGCGGGCUUCUCGUGUGGCUGUUUGCUUUGAUAGCUUGCUAUGUUGGUGAAUAAGUCGUGCGAUUGAGACCUGUAGUAACUUGUUGCCGUUC
rnacentral:rRNA from 1 species